rnacentral:tRNA from 1 species
GGCCCGUUCGUCUAGUGGACUAGGACGCCGGCCCUUCAAGCCGGAGAUCGCGGGUUCGAACCCCGCACGGGCCACCA